CUGUGGGUGUCUCUAUACUGAUGCCGUGGGAGUAGAGGCAGUUCAAACACUGUGGUUUGUCAGAGACAGAACUAUGCAUUACCACAGUAACGUCUAACAGUGUGAGUGUGGCCAUAAGUCACGUAACUAAAGCACUGUUUGUUCCCAUUUGGCCAUAUUUGCAUGGAAGGGUUCCACCCACCAACGAGCCAAAACUUCAGUGUGGCCUGGGACAAAUGUGCUCAAUUAUCCGAAUAUUCCAAGGACUGGAAAUGUCUCGGUCUUCCCUUGCAUACAGUAACUGGAUUCCAGAAUUCUCUGAGUAAACUGGAAAAGCAAAACUAACUGUAUUGGACAUGUACCAUCUGGAACGAAAUGGUUACCAAUAUUCAGUUGCUCUAAAAACGCUUCAAAUGUCAUUUGAUCUCAUUAUGGCACAAUCAAAAGGACAGUAAAAAUAUUUAAUGUGUUAUUAAA